AUACCUUUCUCGGCCUUUUGGCUAAGAUCAAGUGUAGUAUCUGUUCUUAUCAGUUUAAUAUCUGAUAUGUGGGCCAUGUGACCACAACGAUAUUAAAUUUAUUUUUUAUGGGGGAGGGGCCACCACAAUGGCUUGCCAUUGGGUCCUUCAGGUGUCGCCUAGUGUGUUGCACUACUGCCUGGGCAGGCGCACCCCAA
rnacentral:snRNA from 1 species